UACGUAGGUGGCGAGCGUUAUCCGGAAUUACUGGGCGUAAAGCGCGAGCAGGCGGCUGAUUAAGUUUGACGUAAAAUCUCCUGGCUUAACUGGGAGUGGCGUUGGAGACUGGUUGGCUUGAGGCGAUGAGAGGGGUGUGGAAUUCCCGGUGUAGUGGUGGAAUGCGUAGAUAUCGGGAGGAACACCAGAGGCGGAAGCGGCACCCUGGCAUUGGCCUGACGCUGAGAUGCGAAAGCGUGGGGAGCGAACGGG
rnacentral:rRNA from 1 species